rnacentral:tRNA from 1 species
UAGCCUAGUGGACAAGGCUUUGGAUCGCCAAUCCGGAGACGGCGGGUUCGAUUCCCGU